CAGUCGCCGCGGGAAUACGGAGGGCGCGAGCGUUACCCGGAUUUACUGGGCGUAAAGGGCGUGUAGGCGGCCUGGGGCGUCCCAUGUGAAAGGCCACGGCUCAACCGUGGAGGAGCGUGGGAUACGCUCAGGCUAGAGGGUGGGAGAGGGUGGUGGAAUUCCCGGAGUAGUGGUGAAAUGCGCAGAUACCGGGAGGAACGCCGAUGGCGAAGGCAGCCACCUGGUCCACUUCUGACGCUGAGGCGCGAAAGCGUGGGGAGCAAACCGGAUUAGAGACCCCUGUAGUCCCUGUCUCUUAUAC
rnacentral:rRNA from 1 species